UUGAGGAAAGCUAUAAAUGCAACUAAAUCGUCAACAGAGAAAUAAAAUGUUCAGAAUAAGGUUUUGUGAAACAAAAGUAGUCACAAUAAAAAGGAAGUGGAAAUUCAAAUCAAGGAGUGCACAUUUUUGGUCACAUCCCAAACUCACAGAUAUACGGGUUUCUUAACCUCGAUCGCAGGACCUGUUGUCUUUUUUUGCAUAUCUAACGGCGAGACGAACUUUUUCGUCAGACCUAUCAAUAAUGAGAGAGACAAAAAGCCACGGGAACGAGGUUGCGGCUUUCUGUGAACGCUUGGAGGUGCCAGGUUUAUGCUCAAUAAAUGCUUAAAACGCAACAAAGAUAAAGAAAAACUGCAACAAAUGUGUGCUUGAUGUGGAGAACGGAUUGUUCAUCUCAUUGAUUUUCUCAACAAAUGGUGAAGCGGAAGGAGAGUGCAAUUUUUUUUUAUAAAAGCUCAUCGGAAAUGAUUGCAAAAGUUUCUCGUUCCCUGAAGACUGAAGAAAAUACGAUAUAACGAUUGAUUUAUUUAGAAAAAAAAGAAAGAAGAUAAGCCGGGGGUUGCAUGUAAGUGUAAAGUCUCUUUAUUUUUGACGGCAGUGAUAUAUAUAAACUUACUGCCCCUCUGAUCUGGGUAUCAUAUUGUAUUUUAAGAAAAACGAAAAAAAUGUGUCUGGGACUCUCUUGAGAAGGAGAUAGGAUUUUGAUUGUUUCUCUGGUUACUUUCCCGAGCUAUGAAUUAAAUUGCUCUUGAUUUCCUGAUUUAAAGAAUUUUCUGGUAAUAAAGUGUUACAACUAUCGACAGAAG